UCCAGCUACAGGCCCAGCUGGGGGCUGUCAGGCAAGGAGCCAGGUUGGAGCCUGCUGGCAGGAGUCCGGGGCCCCUGUGGCUCCACACUUCCGUCCCCGUGAGAGACCUGGAACCGGGAGCAGCCAGGGUGGGGUCUGUAAUGACUCUGCGGUGCCUCUUGGGCCCCCUGGGUAUGACAAUGACUAGGAAUGGAUGCAAGGAAUGUAUGAGAAGCAGAGGGGAGCCCUUCUGGAGUUUGUGGGUUAGAAGGGGACAUGGAUGUUAAUCCAGUAAUCACCCAAAUAAGAUGGAAGCUUGCCACUGUGGCUUGUGUGGUCUUGGGAGAAUGACACCCCUCUGUGCCUCCGUCCCUUUCAGGAGCACCUAACUCAAGUCAAGAAACAUUUAAUGUGGCUCCACUCUGUGCUUAGGCGGUAGGCCCAGAGCUGGCAAGCCUCGGAGGUCUGUCUGCCUAGAAGCAGAACCCUAAGGUGUCUAGUUUCCUCUCCCGGGGCUCCGGCUCCAGUCCUGCUGUCCGGAGUGCUUGAUCCAAAUGGAUUCUCAAGGCACGUGACACCAAGAGGUUCUUACACCGGACCCCACACCAGGCACGGAGCUCCAGGCGAUGGCAGUUAGAAGAGACGCGUGUUCUUGGAGUGUGGACCCAUCCGGCCUUGUUUCUGCCGUCUCCUCCCUCCUACAGAGCAUCCAACAGUGUCUGCAGAGAACCUUGUCUGAUGACACUAGCCUUUCUCAUCUUCUGAAUGACCCCCAACUUUGCGGAGCACUGUUGUAACCAACAAUUCUCACCUGCCCCUUUAUCAGCCACUGUUGCCAGCUGCCUCUACGUGCUUGUUUGUUUGUUUCUUUUUUCUUCCUUUCUUUUUUUCUGCUUUUGUGAUGGCAGUGGCCCAGGUCUCUUCCAUCAAAUCACUUGUGCGAAAAGCCCAAGGCGGGGGUCGCGCAACCUGCCAACUGGCUGUACUGUUUGGCAAAUGACUUUACAUCUCUAAGCCUCCAUUUCUACGGUCAAGUGAGAAUAUGAAUCCCUACCUUGUCAUCCUUUGAAGGCUUUUGUCCAAAUUGGAUGCGAUUCUGCCCCCGAAUCCUGUCUUUACCCCCAUUGUGGUGCCCAGUAUGAGACCUAGGGGUAAGGGUGAGGAGGAAUAAAACCUUGAGCAUUGAGGGAUCGAACUCUCCAGAACUGGCGGGGUCUUUUAUUCAGUGAUACCCUCCUCCAGGGGCCGUUGUGGGGGCAGGUGGCUUAACUGCCCAGAAAUUAUCUUGUCUGGUUUCUUUUCCAACCGUAGUGGCUUUUAUGUCUUCAACUCCCUCCUUGCUCUCUCGCCUUUUAACAUCUGGGUGGGGGAUUUUGUUCAGACUGUGAAACAGGCUUCUGACGCUCUCAGGUCUUCUUGGGUGUGAGGUGUUCUUUUUGUCCUUUGGCGGGGGGGGGGGGGAUCUUGCUGUGUGAGCAGCGGUGACCCCCUCGGUCCCUGGGGCUGCUGUCGUGGUCAGGAUCUUGCCAUCUGUGAUCAAGCACUCAGGCAACCCGGGGGGAAUCGUGUGGGACUUGAUUCUGGGGUGGGCUCUGGGGCAAGCCGACAUGAGCACCCACUGACUACACAACCAGGUCCAGCAGGGGAGAGAGGACAGGGAACCUCAGAGAAAGGCUGGGAAACGUGUGAAUGAGAAGAUUCGGAACAGGGCUCACCCAGCAGAACAGGACCUGGAUGAGCCAAGAGUGCCUGGAGAAUGCACUCCAUUUUUACGGUGUGGCGUGAAAAGCACGCAGAAGAAUACGAGGGGGUUCUCGAGUAGAGGAACUCUCUGAGUCUCAGUUUCUCUGGCCAUGAAAUGGAUCUGAUAGUAUUCACUGCACGAGGUUAC